UAGAUAGAAAAAUGGGGCAUGCAGGGAUUGAAAUUCAUUGCCUUGGGUCUGAGGGGUUGGACAACCCAGAAGAUCUGUUUUGCCUGCAUUGUCUGUUUCUUCUCCAAAGACAGUGGGACCUGUUUUGGAGUUGUUCCACAAUCAGCAAUCACCUCUCCUGCAAAAAAGGAAACAUCUAAUAGCAUUUCCUCCAGUGAACUCCAAUAAAAGGGGGCAAGGAAUAACAGAGCGUUUUGGAGCACUGCAAACAGCUGAUUCGUGGCAUUCAAGCUUUGUGAAGGAGGGGGAGGUCAGUGACUGGACCCCAGGCAGAGGGACGGUGGCUGGGACCCUCCCGCACCCCUUCUUCCGGCACCUGUGGAGACCUACUGGCAUUCUGCAUUGACUUCCCAUGGUUCGGCAAAUUCUCUGGUUCAGCACCGGUCAGGUCCUGAGGAUGCAGACUAGAGAAGUUCAAACUCUUAAUGAGUAUAUAACCUCUUGUAAUUUACAAGUUAAGAUCUUGCUUUGACAACACAUGGAUCAAUUAUAUCCUCCCGGAUUUAGUUUUGACAUGUUAAUGUUCGAAUCAAAAGAGGCAAGUGUGAAUAACUUAACUGUUUAUAUUGGCUAAAACUGAACUCACAUAG